CGACCAGCUCAGUUGGUAGAGCAGAGGACUGCAGUUGUCACAGAUAAUCCUUAGGUCACUAGUUCGAAUCUGGCAGGUCGG
rnacentral:tRNA from 1 species